rnacentral:rRNA from 1 species
UACGUAGGGGGCAAGCGUUGUCCGGAAUCAUUGGGCGUAAAGAGCGCGUAGGCGGUCCGGUAAGUCCGCUCUGAAAGUCCGGGGCUCAACCCCGGGAGGCGGGCGGAUACUGCCGGGCUAGAGUCCGGAAGAGGCGAGUGGAAUUCCUGGUGUAGCGGUGAAAUGCGCAGAUAUCAGGAAGAACACCCGUGGCUAAGGCGGCUCUCUAGUACGGUACUGACGCUGAGACGCGAAAGCUAGGGGAGCAAACGGG